GGCCAAUAUAAUUAUGGUGAAGUGUGGGUUAAUAUUACAGCGAGCAGGGGGAGCAUGGGUGCACUGUCACAUGACCUGUAGGGUAUGGAGGUUCAUAGAACAAGCAAUUUUUUCCAAAUAGCCAAUAAAGAUGUAGAUAAUCAAAGAUGAGGAUGCAAAGUUAAUAUAAUUAUUUUGGCCUUAGGGGCUCCUACACUUAUUAUUAGUCCUCAUGCUAAAUUAUAUAUACACA